rnacentral:rRNA from 1 species
UACGUAGGGGCUAGCGUUGUCCGGAAUCAUUGGGCGUAAAGCGCGUGUAGGCGGCCCGGUAAGUCCGCUGUGAAAGUCGGGGGCUCAACCCUCGGAUGCCGGUGGAUACUGUCGGGCUUGAGUACGGAAGAGGCGAGUGGAAUUCCUGGUGUAGCGGUGAAAUGCGCAGAUAAUCAGGAGGAACACCAAUUGCGAAGGCAGC